GAUGAACGCUGACAGCAUGCUUAACACAUGCAAGUCAACUUGAACUUCGGUUUGGGUGGCGGCCGGGUGAGUAACGCGUAAAGAACUUGCCUCACAGCUAGGGACAACAUUUGGAAACGAAUGCUAAUACCGGUUAUUAUGAUUAUAUGGCAUCGUAUAAUUAUGACAGCUAUAUGCGCUGUGAGAGAGCUUUGCGUCCCAUUAGCUAGUUGGAGAGGUAACAGCUCACCAAGGCGAUGAUGGGUAGCCGGCCUGAGAGGGUGACCGGCCACAAGCGGACUGAGACACCACCCGUACGCCUUCGUGCGGCAUCAGUGGGGACUUUAGGCCAAUGGACCGAGUGUCUGAUCCAGCACUUCUGUGUGUACGAUGAAGUUUUUCGGAAUGUAAAGUGCUUUCAGUUGGGAAGAACAAAAUGACGUUACCAGCAGAAGAAGUGACGGCUAACUACGUG
rnacentral:rRNA from 1 species